rnacentral:rRNA from 1 species
GGCCUAGUGCCAACCCUCGCGAAAGGGAGGUAGGCCCCCAAAGGGAGGUGCCUGGUGACUGGGGUG